ensembl:lincRNA
AUUUGUACAAGGCUUAUUUGAUAUCAUAAUGGGUGUAUACGGUGAUAUUUGAUGAUAAAAACAGAGCACCUCACAACCGGAAGUGAUUAACAUCAUCCAUUUUUCAACUUCGCUUGUAUGUUUAGUAAAUGCCAUAAUGGGUGGAUGCGAUGAUAUUUCUUUGUGCAACGAUAAAAACAGAGCGUGAUCAUGAUCCUCAAUUUUGUAUAUGCAGUAAGUAAAAAUAAAUGACUUAUUUAUAAAUUCCAUUUAAAAUGCCGGUUACGAAAGCAUGCCAGUUGGUAAGGUGCUAAAUAUAAUCAAACAUUACCGAUAUGAAAAAGAAAGACCACCUCACAUCUCUCAUCUGUGAAUGGAGGGAAUAACCAAUUUGCACUCACCUAAUCAACUAACCCAGGUGGCGAAGAUUAUAUCAACAAAUCAACUCCUCCAAUGCUUUUCUAGCUGAAUAAGCUGCAUAAAGCAACAACGAAAAUAUACAUGAGGUAAGUACAUGCAUAAUAUGAAAUAACACAGACACCAUGCAUUCGUUUUUAUUCAGGUCUGAAAUACAGAGUUUACUGAAUGAAGAGAUAGAGAUGGUAUGGAAUUGGAUAAAAAGGCAGCAAGAUUGUCUGAUGGCGAAUGAAAGUGCUGACCCAUAAUCAGCAAGGGACAACUAAAGAUUGAAGAAACAUCCACGACAGCACAAUCCCACAAUGCCUUCAUACACCUUCAGUUGCAUGUGGUUUAUUAUACUUCUCACUUUGAACUGUCACAUGGUUUCUACCAUUCUUCAAAUCCCUGAUGAUGCACAAGGCCAUCAGACAAGCCAAGGACACACCUGUAUAACGACAGCUGCCGGAAUGCUCUGUCCAAUGAGAACACCCCAUGGGAGCUUCACUGUGUCCAAUGGGAUUAUAAUAGUGUGGACAGUGAGCUCGCUGAGUUCAUGUUGUGGGGUCUGUGGUGAGCCUUCGCGGUCUGUAGUGGUGAGUGUGACAGUGAACGUGGCAGUGAACGUGGCAGCGGUGUCUAGCUUUUGGUGUCUGCGCUCGUGUCCUUGGUGCCUGCUGCCAGUCCCCAUCCCUUCAUCUGUGGGGCUGCUGCUGCUGCAGUGCUGGAGAGAGGCCAUGAGCCGAGGUCCAAUGCGAACCGCCGCACACCAAGGUGAGCACCAAGGUGAAAACAACCUCGUGGGACAAGGACCCACACCACAUGCACGGGCAGUGCUGUGCAGAUAGGUUUCUUUGUUUCGUCAGAACCAUGCUGAGUCUCACGUUCCUCCCCCUGAUGAAAAAGAAAAGGCAUCUUUGCUAAGCCAUCGUUGUUUUGGGGUGAGUUGUCUCAUUUAUUUAUUUAAUUGCAUUGCCGCUGCGUGUCUGUGCUUUCGCCCCUUUUCCCCAUUUUCUCUGUUAAUAAUCCCCACUUUUGUUGAAAACCCAUGUGGUCAUUGGAAGUGGGCUCCAUUGCACUUAGCAAAAUUGGCUGAUGAUCCUGUUCGAUGGACAGGUUGAGGUCCUCACUUAAACACCUUGAUGCAGGACAUCUAUAAGCUUUGCUCAACUAUCCCUGUCACUUAUUCCACCACGAUCAUUGCGUUUAGAGAUGCCAAAUCACGCAAAAUUAUCCAAGCAGAUGCGGAGACCUUUUCCUCCCAUACCAGUUUGGCGGCAUGGCUGUCGUCGAAGACCGGAAGGCAACAUAUAUUCCCUCUCUUUUGACACCUGUCUCUCACUCAUAAAUAGCAUUCAUAUCAUGUAUCCAAUGGUAUCUCCCGUUGUCAUUGUAAUCUGCUUCUCGUGUUUAUACGAGAAAUAGUUGAAUACUCAAAAUUUUUCUUUUUUUGUAACUAAGUAAAUUAUGUGAAACUGCGAAGGCCAUAUGACAUUUGUCAUAUGAAUUUCACUGCAGAAAAGGAUUUUUGGUUCUCACCUUCAUCAUCCACUCUUAAAGACCAAAAAAUUGUAAGUACAGUACUUCCUUUGAAAUCCUACCAUGGAGUCCAGCAGUGAAGCACAAUCGCUCAAGGAGCAAUUUUAAGGUAUAAUCCCAAGAUUGAUAAAUGCUUUCAAGGUGACUGUUUCUUUGUUGAUUUUUUAAUAAGUAUACGGAUUGGUUCCCGAUCACAAUCUCAAUCCCCACAAGGAAGCAGGCCUCCCCACAGCCCUCUUUGGCUUGUAAAUGGAUUUUUCACUUGAUGCAUUAUUCUCCGGGAUGGUGAAGCUGCGACAACACAGCGGGCGAUCACUUUUCGUGUUUUGCAAGGUUAAUGCAGUUACAGAGGUGGCCUGGCAUGUGGGGAAGCUUACCCAACACCCAGACGAUGGCUUGCACAGCUUCAGAGUUCACGAAAAAAAAAACACGAGCUGCCGAAUCAGUGCAACCACUCUGGCAUGAAAGCACCACUAUAUUUCUUGUUACUCUGCUAUUCAGCAAAAGUAAUACUUUAGCAUUGGAAAGAUAAUGUAUUUAUUCACCACACUGGCAAAACUGACAUGAAUGCUGGUACAUGAAAUGGAUAAAAUGUUUGGCAUUUUAAUCUGAGGAUAUAUGAAGGGCAUUCAAAAAGUUGUAUUAAUGAGAGACUCAUGAUGGACCUAAAACAUGCCAACACAUUUUUCUCAAUAUACAAGUGGGGUAUAAUUAGUAGGUAUGUGUGUGUGUGUGUGUGUGUGUGUGUGUGUGUG